CUUGCUAGAUUGAUGGCGAGUGGCGAACGGGUGAGUAAUACAUCGGAACGUGCCCUGUAGUGGGGGAUAACUAGUCGAAAGAUUAGCUAAUACCGCAUACGACCUGAGGGUGAAAGUGGGGGACCGCAAGGCCUCAUGCUAUAGGAGCGGCCGAUGUCUGAUUAGCUAGUUGGUGAGGUAAAGGCUCACCAAGGCGACGAUCAGUAGCUGGUCUGAGAGGACGAUCAGCCACACUGGGACUGAGACACGGCCCAGACUCCUACGGGAGGCAGCAGUGGGGAAUUUUGGACAAUGGGCGAAAGCCUGAUCCAGCAAUGCCGCGUGUGUGAAGAAGGCCUUCGGGUUGUAAAGCACUUUUGUCCGGAAAGAAAUGGCUCUGGUUAAUACCUGGGGUCGAUGACGGUACCGGAAGAAUAAGGACCGGCUAACUACGUGCCAGCAGCCGCGGUAAUACGUAGGGUCCAAGCGUUAAUCGGAAUUACUGGGCGUAAAGCGUGCGCAGGCGGUUGUGCAAGACCGAUGUGAAAUCCCCGAGCUUAACUUGGGAAUUGCAUUGGUGACUGCACGGCUAGAGUGUGUCAGAGGGGGGUAGAAUUCCACGUGUAGCAGUGAAAUGCGUAGAGAUGUGGAGGAAUACCGAUGGCGAA
rnacentral:rRNA from 1 species